rnacentral:rRNA from 1 species
CAGUUAUAGUUUAUUUGAUAUAUUAAAUGGAUAACUGUAGAAAAACUAGAGCUAAUACAUGCCGAAGCCGCAAGGUUGUAUUUAUUAGAUAUUCCAAUUAGGUGAAUCAUGAUAACUUUGCAAAUCUCGGUUUUGCCGAGAUAAAUCAUCCAAGUUUCUGCCCUAUCAUGCUUUCGAUGGUAGUGUAUUGGACUACCAUGGCUUUCACGGGUAACAGGGAAUUAGGGUCGAUUUCUGAGAAGGAGCCUGAGAAACGGCUACUACAUCUACGGAAGGCAGCAGGCGCGUAAAUUACCCAAUCCUGACUCAGGGAGGUGGUGACAAGAUAUAACAACGCAAUUUAAUUGUGAUUGUAGUGAGGGUUUUCCAAACCGAACCACUAGUACGAUUAGAGGGCAAGUCUGGUGCCAGCAGCCGCGGUAAUUCCAGCUCUAAUAGCGUAUAUUAAAGUUGCUGCAGUUAAAAGCUCGUAGUUGGAUU